GCACAAUGGGCGCAAGCCUGAUGCAGCCAUGCCGCGUGUAUGAAGAAGGCCUUCGGGUUGUAAAGUACUUUCAGCAGUGAGGAAGGUGGAUAUGUUAAUAGCAUAUUCAUUUGACGUUAGCUGCAGAAGAAGCACCGGCUAACUCCGUGCCAGCAGCCGCGGUAAUACGGAGGGUGCGAGCGUUAAUCGGAAUUACUGGGCGUAAAGCGCAUGCAGGUGGUUUGUUAAGUCAGAUGUGAAAGCCCGGGGCUCAACCUCGGAAUUGCAUUUGAAAACUGGCAAACUAGAGUACUGUAGAGGGGGUAGAAUUUCAGGUGUAGCGGUGAAAUGCGUAGAGAUCUGAAGGAAUACCGGUGGCGAAGGCGGCCCCCUGGACAGAUACUGACACUCAGAUGCGAAAGCGUGGGGAGCAAACAGGAUUAGAUACCCUGGUAG
rnacentral:rRNA from 1 species